AUGAACGUCUUCGCCUCAGCUCUGAUUUUACUGUGGACUUCAGGUCCCAUCGAUGCCAGAGAAGUGGAGCAGCCUUCCCAGCUGUGGAGACGCCAGGGAGAAAAUGCGAAAAUCGACUGCAACCACACUAAAGGUGCUGGCUACUACCAGAUGUACUGGUUCAGACAGCUGCCCGGGGAGAGCAUGGCGCUCGUCGUGUUCACUGUGGCGGGGAACGACAAACACGACUUUGGAGAGUUCAGCACGAAGAAGUUCUCAGCCUCGAAGCCGGACGCUCUCAGUGGAAGCUUGACGGUGCUGAAGGUGGAGCCGGCGGACCAGGGGGUGUACUUCUGUGCUGUCGGCGCACAGUGCUGCAGAAGAGCUCGCCGCUUCAACAAAAACCUGAGCCGACGGUUAAACCCAACAAUCGCAAAUCAAUGAGGCUGCUGCAUCCUGCAGCUGUGACCACAUCAAACCCACAGGAUCAUUUAUGGAACGUUCGGGUUAAAGAUUCUGGUUUGAUCUGAAUAAAACGAUCAACAGAUUUACAGAAAACAACAAAAACAAACUAUCCAGUGAUGAAAACACUCACUGAAGCUGUUAAGGACAAAAACUGUGUAAGAGCUGCAAAUAUUACGUCAACAAAUUAUACAAUAAUAACUUGUUACGGUGAUUAAAUUCUAACAAAAUAACAAUUUUGUUUGUUUUAAAAAGUAAACAAACACAAAAAUCAGCUUUAAGACUUUCAUUAAAAAGAAAAAAAAAAUUAUGAAAUUCCUGAAAAUUUAAACUAAAGGAGC